GGCCGGCGGUGCCGGAGGCCAAAGACUCUCGUCGCGAGGGUAGUAGACGCGCGUCGCGUUUUCCGCCGGACCUCUUCCGCUCUCGGGUCUACUUAUCUGUGCCCUCCUCUCUCUCCCUCUUUCUCUCACUCGUUCUCUCAACCCCUCGGUACCCCGUGAUCCCGGACACCCCGUCCAUCGCAUCCCCCGGCGGUGCGCUCCUCGCCGAGAUAUCCGAACGCUCGCAGCCGGCUUUUAGACUGGCCGCGCGCCGCGUAUGCACCGCGUGCACUCGCGACAGCAUCCUCGCCGACACCGUGACAACACGCUGCUCGUCCUCGUCGUCCGUCAGCAAGAGCACUGCCACGUUUCUGCGCGGCGCGUCGUGCACGGUGACGAGGACGACGACGGCGACGGCAACGGCGAGAACGACGGCGGUAGAUCACGAGGAUCGGAGUAACGUGCAUCAUCGUUCCUCGCUGCGAGUUAGACACCGGGUCGUUCGGUGGCCGAGCGUGGGAUUCGACCACAGGAUCGAAGGAUGCUGGCCCGCUGCCUAAUCUUCGCAGGUGUAACCGCUGUAGUAACGUCCGCGGGCGGGCACAGCUUUGACGCGCACUUGCGCGGCCCCAGCUUCCAGCAGGAACCGCCAUCGAGGAUCGAAUUCUCGAAUUCCAGCGGCGCUUGGCUGGACUGCUCGGCCUCCGGAAGUCCGCAACCCAAUAUCGACUGGUCCACCGCGGACGGGCAUCCGGUGAACGAUGUUUCGGGCGUCCGGAGGGUGCUCAGAAACGGCACCCUGGUACUCCUGCCGUUUCCGGCUGCGGCCUAUCGGCAGGACGUUCACAGCGCGGCGUACAGAUGCGUCGCGAGCAACUCCGUCGGCAGGGUGCUCAGCCGCGACGUGCAGGUCAGAGCAGUGGUGGCACAGGCGUACAAAGUCGACGUGGAGGUGACGGGGGGUGCAUCGAGAGGAUGCACAGCGAUAUUGCGCUGCAUCAUACCCAGCUACGUGAAAGAUUUGGUGCGCGUCGUAUCCUGGUUGCACGAGCCUUCGUCCUACAUAUAUCCCUCGCUGCAAGGAGACGGCAAGUACCACCUGCUUCCCACGGGAGAGCUUCUGGUGCACAGCCUCGAGUUCAGCGACCAGCUGAACGGCUACAGAUGCCGCACGAUGCACCGUCUCACGAGACAAGUGGUCGUUAGUUCUAUGGCCAACAUUAGGAUAGCAGAUCACAGAGGCGUAAUGCCUCCCGUGAUACUCGAAAACUCCGGCGUCGUUCACGUCGCCCAGGACGAAUCGACGUCGUUAGUCUGCGUGGCGCAAGCCUGCCCCUCUCCUGAAUACCGGUGGUACGCGCAAACGGGCGCAGAACCGAUGUUGGUGCUCUCUGGACCCAAGACCAGGCUGCUGGGUUCUGUGCUAGCCAUCGAGGCGGUAACAUUGGAGGAUAGUGGCGUGUACCGCUGUUCCGCUUCCAAUUCUGGUGGUGAAGCAAGCGCCGAGAUCAGACUGAUCGUGACGGCGCCGCUCCACGUGGAAGUGACACCCCCCUUGCUCAGCGUGCACUUGGGAGGCAACGCUGAGUUCCGAUGCGAGGUUAGCACGCACCCCCAAGCUGGACCGCAUUUUAUCACGUGGUACAAGGACGGUCGGCAACUUCCAGGGACAGGAAGGCAAUCGGAAUUGCUGAGGCUCAACGGAAUCGGACGGGAGGACCGCGGCAUGUAUCAGUGCAUCGUGAGACGAUCGGAAGGCGACACGGCUCAGGCGUCGGCGGAACUUCAACUGGGCGACGCGCCGCCGGUGCUCCUCUACUCGUUCAUCGAGCAGACGCUGCAACCUGGACCCGCCGUGUCCUUAAAAUGCUCUGCCGCGGGAAACCCUACACCUCAGGUAUCAUGGGCGUUGGAUGGUUUUCCCUUACCAACUGGUAAUGGAAGGUUCGUCAUCGGUCAAUACGUGACGGUGCACGGCGACGUCAUAUCUCACGUCAACAUAAGCCACGUCAUGGUGGAGGACGGUGGCGAAUAUUCCUGCACCGCCGAAAAUCGCGCGGGAAAGGUGACACAUGCCGCGCGGUUGAACGUUUACGGACUUCCGUACAUACGCCUGAUCCCGAAAGUGACCGCUGUCGCCGGCGAGACCCUGCGCCUGAAGUGUCCGGUGGCCGGAUAUCCGAUCGAGGAGAUCAAGUGGGAGCGAGCGAAUCGCGAGUUACCGGACGACCUGCGGCAGAAGGUGCUCCUGGACGGCACUCUGAUAAUCAGCAGCGUGCAGAAGGAGGGCGACGCGGGCGUGUACACUUGCUGGGCGAGGAACAAGCAGGGCCACAGCGCCAGAAGAUCCGGAGACGUCGCAGUGAUCGUACCCCCUAUUAUUGAGCCAUUUACGUUCCAAGAGGGACUAUCCGAGGGGAUGCGGACGCGGACGGUGUGCGGGGUCGCGGCGGGAGACCCACCCCUAACCAUAUCCUGGCUGAAAGACGGCCAAAGUCCCUUUCCCCUGCCGCCGAAUCUGGCAUCCGUCGCAAACGUCUCCCAACUGGAUUCCUACUCGAGCCUCCUCAGUAUAACGAAUCUCGCGGCCGAGCACUCCGGCGACUAUACCUGCAUCGCCGCGAACCCCGCCGCCGAGGUCAGGUACACGGCCAAGCUACAGGUAAAAGUGCCGCCGAGAUGGAUCGUCGAGCCGACCGACGUGAGCGUCGAGCGGAAUCGCCACGUCGCGCUGCACUGCCAGGCACAGGGCGUCCCGACGCCGACGAUCGUCUGGAAAAAGGCCACUGGAAGCAAGGCCGGUGAUUACGAGGAGUUGCGCGAAAGAACGUAUACGAAAAUCCUCAGUAACGGCACUCUCCUGCUGCAACACGUGAAAGAAGACAGGGAGGGUUUCUACCUGUGCCACGCGAGCAACGGCAUAGGGAGCGGUCUCGGCAAAGUCGUGCAAUUAAAAGUCAAUUCAUCCCCCUAUUUCGCGGCGCCGUCGCGGCUUGUGACCGUAAAGAAGGGUGACACGACGACAUUGCACUGCGAGGUACACGGCGAUAAGCCGGUCACCGUUACCUGGCUGAAGGGUGGCAAAAGCGAGCUGAAUCCCUCGACGAAUUACCGCGUGGCGGUGAAGCAGGAAGUAACACCGGACGGCGUCAUCGCGCAAUUGCAAAUCUCAUCGGCGGAAGCGGCCGACAGCGGCGCGUACUUCUGCCAGGCGAACAACCUUUACGGCCGCGAUCAGCAGCUGGUGCAACUCCUCGUGCAAGAGCCGCCACAGCCACCGAAUGCCAUAGAAACCGCCAUGGUGGCGAGUCGCAGCAUUAACGUUAAGUGGCAGCACAAAUCGCAGGACACCAGCGAGGUCACCAAGUAUAUUCUUGAGUACAAAGAGGGUGAAGGCGGAACGUGGGAGAAGCAAGAGCUUACCGGGCCACCAUUGCCGUACGCGGCGUUAAUCGACAACCUAAAGCCCGCUACGAGAUACAAGAUCCGCGUAAUAGCGGAAGGGCCAGCGGGCCGAUCGGUGCCCUCGGCGGAGCUCGUUGUCAGGACCGAUCCGCAGAGACCGGCCGGUCCACCAAUAAACGUCGCGGCCAGAGCCCUGUCCUCAUCCGAGAUCCUCGUCACUUGGUCACCGCCGUCACCCGACCUUCGUCAUGGUGACAUACAGGGCUUCAAUGUCGGCUACAGAGAAACGAGCUCGAACAAUCUGUCGUACAACUUCAGCGCCGUGUCGGGCGACGGGGAGGAAGGUGGUGGCGAGCUGCGGCUCACGGGCCUCAGGCCUUACACCAGAUACACCCUGGUGGUACAAGCGUACAAUCAAAUCGGUCCAGGACCCCUGAGCGAACCGCUGCUCACGCAGACCUUGGAGGAUGUUCCCAGCAUGCCACCGAGCGACGUGAGAUGCGCGGCACUCAGCUCCCAGUCCUUGCAAGUGUCCUGGCAGCCUCCGCCCAAUACGCACAGCAACGGCAUCAUCCAAGGUUACAAGUUGAAUUACGAGCCGAUCUUGGCGGACGCGUGGCGAGGGGUGGAUGAGAUAGAGGUUCGCAAAACAAGCACCCUGACGAUGGUUCUAACCGGGUUGAGGCGCUACACUAAUUACAGUAUCCAGGUCUUAGCGCAUACCAGGAUCGGCGACGGCGUGCCCUCCGCAAUGAUUUACUGCCAGACGGAGGAAGACGUGCCUGGCAGUCCAGCCGACAUCAAAGUAGUCGUGAGCUCGCCGCAAGCCCUCUUCAUCUCAUGGCUACCGCCGCUCGAUCCGAACGGGGUUAUCACGAAGUACAUCCUUUACACGAGACUCGUCGACGGCGGUGAGUUCAAGCACGGCAAAAGGCAGCUGCCAGCAACGAGCACGAACUUCGAGGCGACCGAUCUGCAGCAGCACGUCGAGUACCAGUUCUGGGUGACCGGUAGCACGCGGGUGGGCGAGGGUCAGAGUUCGAGGGUGGUCGCGCAGGUGCCGACGAAUCGGGUGCCGGCCAGGAUCACGUCAUUCGGCGGGCACGUGGUGCGCCCGUGGCAGAGCUCGAUCACCUUGGCGUGCAACGCGGUCGGCGAGCCUACGCGGGAGUGGUUCAAGGGCACCAUGGAGCAGAUACGCACCGACACUGCCAGGAACGUGCGGAUCCUGCCGACCGGCGAGCUCCUGCUGUCGAACCUGCAGUCGCAGGACAGCGGGAACUACACCUGCCAGGUGGAGAACUCCCAGGGCAGCGACAAGCUGCAUUACACCCUCACGGUGCAAGUUCCACCCAACGCCCCGGUAUUGUACGUGACCAGCUCCACAUCAAGCAGCGUGUUGCUGCAUUGGAAAUCAGAGAAUAACGGUGGUGCGCCGCUGACGGGAUACACGUUGUAUUAUCGAACUGCUCAUGGUACCCUCGAUGAGCUACAGCUGUCUCGUCACGCUACCAGCCACGAGCUGAAGGGUCUCCUAUGCGGAAACACGUAUCAGCUGUACUUGACUUCGCACAACAACAUCGGCAGCAGCCCGUCAUCGCCGGUGCUCUCGGUUCGCACGCAGGGCCAAGCACCGGGAAUUCCACCGGCGGCUGCCUUCCUGAGCCCCAACUCCACUACCCUGGUGCUGCGUCUGCACAUCUGGCCCGACAACGGGUGCCCCAUAAAGUACUUCGUCAUUCAGUACAGGCCGAUAAACGAGUUCCACUGGACCCUGGUCUCGAACAACGUCAAGAUGCAGCGGCGCUACGUUGUAACUAAUCUGGCACCCAGCUCGGUCUACCAGCUGAAGAUCGAGGCUCAUAACGUGGCCGGUAGCAAUCAGGCGGAGUUCACGUUCGUGACGCUGACGAAGGAGGGUGAACCACCACCCCCAGGACUAUCGAAGCGAGGGAUGACCUCGGUGAUGCCGUUCUAUGCGGAUGUCAAGGUGAUGUUACCGUUGAUCGUGGCCACCGUUGCGCUGGUCGCCGCUGCGGUGAUCGUCGCCUUUCGCUGGAAGAACAGAUACUUAGGGGGUCACGUGCAGCGACCGAUGAAGGAGUCGCAGGAGAACCAACAAAACGCCGAGACACAACGGGAACGUUAUUACGCUACUAUACACAAAGUGGCCUUGCAGCAGGCGGCAAGCACUGGCGCGGGCCCUGAUAAGAUUCCAGACAGCGGAGGACAUUUCGCCGUACGCUACGUUCCAGCUUUCGGAGGGUGGCGGGGGAAGCCUGGCAGGAUUGGGCGCGCUGGGCGGACUGGGAGGCGCGGCGGAGGCUACGGCCGGGCUUCAUCCGAACAACACGCUUCUCCACAGCUUCAUGUAUCACGAGCACGCCAUGACCGAAGGAUGCGCGAGCCCACCACCGGCGGCGGCGAGCAUGAAGAGCGUCUCGUCGAGAAGACGGCAGCAGAGAAAACAGCAAACCCCGGGCGAUGUCGAGAGCGACGAGAGCGAGUCUGACCCGGACCAACUGAUAAGCUCGCGCACGGAAUCGUCGAAUCAACUGGACGCUGGCAAAUUAAAACAUAUUCGCGCGGUUUCGGACUUUAUCUAUCACGGCACGUCGAGCACCUCUUCGGACAUCUCGCCCAUGUCGGAACAAAAGUCACUGCCGCGAAGGGGGCGGUCAAGGAGCUCCCUACGUACACUACUGCCGCCGAUCUCGGUCGCGGAGACCGCGUUCGUCGGUGGCAAUCAAGGGGCGGUGGUGCCCACGCCAGGGAA
rnacentral:misc_RNA from 1 species